UUAUUCUCUUUCUAAAAUCACUGCUUCCCCCAUUCUCUCUCUCUACAGCAACCCUUCCUUGAUAGACAACUCCAGCGUUAGCGCGGCAUCAGAGUGGAUGCACAGAUCUGUCUCUUCGCCUAAGUGGAUGCGCUAGGAUGGUCACAUCGUCGGUGGAGUUGAGGCGCAGCGAUACGGACUAAACUCUUCUUCGGUGUUUCAGAUCACGGCUGCAAUUUGGACUUUUUGUGCGAUGUUACGGACUUUUGUGUGGUUUUAUAGAUCGUAUGAUUUUUUGAUAAAUUUUUCGACAUGUUUUGUUGCGGUUUUUGAGAUGGUUAUUGUGUAGGCUGUGAUAGUGUGCUGUGGUGGUGGUGACGGCUUGUUUGUGGGUUUUUUUGGUGGGGAUGGUGGUUGGGUGCGGUUUAAAUGGAGAGAGGAGAUGAUGGUGGUGGUGGUGUUUUGUGGGUGGUGCGGUGGUGGUGUGUUGCGGUGGUGGUAACGGGUUUGUGGAAUUUUUGGUGGUGGUGGUGGUGGUGGUUGGGUGUGGUUUAAAUGGGGAUAGAGGAGAUGGUAGUGGUGAGGUCGUCGGUGGCAGUAGAGACACGGUGAAUGAGGGAGGCCAAUGUAGUGCCAGAUAAUUGAAUCUUCUCAAUUGAAAAGUCCUCCAUUACUUUGAUAGUGUGUUUGCUGGUAGAAGAGAAGGAAGAAAGAUUUUGCCUCUUUUUAGCAAUUAUCACAAAUUUUCGGUUGAUAAAAAUAUAGUGGCCUGUCCUUCAUCCAUCAUUGUCUUCUGGGGCUAGGAAACAUCGUUUUUAUCUCGAUUAUUACUUUGAAAUAGGAGUAAAUUAUGAUACUGGUCGCGAUUAGUGCAUAUUUGUUUGUGGUGACCCCAUGUGACCAAAUUUGUGUUUGUUGUGAUUAUAUGUGACCAAUUUUGACCGAUUGUAGCAUGAGAUUGACCUUGUCAUAGAUAGUCACACUGAAUAUAAUUUUGGUCACAGUUAGUCACACCGAAGUUAGAGUUGGUCACUGUUAAUCACAGAUAACGUGGGUCAGUGAAUUGGUUACAUACAAUCACAAAUUCGAUUAUUACCUUAAAAUAGGAGCAAAUUAUGAUACAGGUCGCGAUGAGUGCAUAUUUAUUUGUGGUGACCCCAUGUGACCAAAUUUGUGUUUGUUGUGAUUAUUUGUAACCAAUUUUGUAUUGAUUGUGACAUGAGAUUGACCUUCUCAUGGACAGUCACACUGAAUGUAAUUUUGGUCACAGUUAGUCACAUCAAAGACAGAGUUGGUCACGGUUAAUCACAGAUAAUGUGGGUCAAUGAAUUGGUUAC
rnacentral:lncRNA from 1 species